UACGUAGGGUGCGAGCGUUGUCCGGAAUUAUUGGGCGUAAAGAGCUCGUAGGCGGCUUGUUGCGUCGGAUGUGAAAGCCCGGGGCUUAACCCCGGGUCUGCAUUCGAUACGGGCAGGCUAGAGUUCGGUAGGGGAGAUCGGAAUUCCUGGUGUAGCGGUGAAAUGCGCAGAUAUCAGGAGGAACACCGGUGGCGAAGGCGGAUCUCUGGGCCUUACCUGACGCUCAGGCGCGAAAGCUAGGGGAGCAAACAGG
rnacentral:rRNA from 1 species